GGGGGGGCAAGCGUUGUUCGGAAUUACUGGGCGUAAAGGGCUCGUAGGCGGCCAACUAAGUCGGAUGUGAAAUCCCCAGGCUUAACCUGGGAACUGCAUCCGAUACUGGAUGGCUUGAAUCCGGGAGAGGGAUGCAGAAUUCCAGGUGUAGCGGUGAAAUGCGUAGAUAUCUGGAGGAAUACCGGUGGCGAAGGCGGCAUCCUGGACCGGCAUUGACGCUGAUGAGCGAAAGCUAGGGGAGCAAACAGG
rnacentral:rRNA from 1 species